rnacentral:rRNA from 1 species
CUAAGACCGCAUAGGUGUAGAGAUCGCAUGAACUCUAUAUGAAAAGUGCUACGGGACUGGUAGAUGAUGGACUUAUGGCGCAUUAGCUGGUUGGUAGGGUAACGGCCUACCAAGGCGACGAUGCGUAGCCGACCUGAGAGGGUGACCGGCCACACUGGGACUGAGACACGGCCCAGACUCCUACGGGAGGCAGCAGUAGGGAAUUUUCGGCAAUGGGGGAAACCCUGACCGAGCAACGCCGCGUGAAGGAAGAAGUAAUUCGUUACGUAAACUUCUGUCAUAGAGGAAGAACGGUGGAUAUAGGGAAUGAUAUCCAAGUGACGGUACUCUAUAAGAAAGCCACGGCUAACUACGUGCCAGCAGCCGCGGUAAUACGUAGGUGGCGAGCGUUAUCCGGAAUUAUUGGGCGUAAAGAGGGAGCAGGCGGCACUAAGGGUCUGUGGUGAAAGAUCGAAGCUUAACUUCGGUAAGCCAUGGAAACCGUAGAGCUAGAGUGUGUGAGAGGAUCGUGGAAUUCCAUGUGUAGCGGUGAAAUGCGUAGAUAUAUGGAGGAACACCAGUGGCGAAGGCGACGAUCUGGCGCAUAACUGACGCUCAGUCCCGAAAGCGUGGGGAGCAAAUAGGAUUAGAUACCCUAGUAGUCCACGCCGUAAACGAUAAGUACUAAGUGUUGGGGGUCAAAGCUCAGUGCUGC